CCUACGGGGCGCACCAGGGGCGAAAACUUUACAAUGCAGGCAACUGUGAUAAGGGAACCCCGAGUGCCCGUAUGGACGGGCUGUUCAGGUGCUUAAAAACCACCUGGAGAAAGGGCCGGGCAAGACCGGUGCCAGCCGCCGCGGUAAUACCGGCGGCUCGAGUGGUGGCCACUAUUACUGGGCUUAAAGCGUCCGUAGCUUGGUCGUUAAGCCUCUGGGGAAAUCUUCCGGCUCAACCGGAAGGCGUCUCAGGGGAACUGGCGACCUAGGGAUCGGGAGAGGUGAGAGGUACUCUGGGGGUAGGAGUGAAAUCCUGUAAUCCUCAGGGGACCACCUGUGGCGAAGGCGCCUCACCAGAACGACUCCGACAGUGAGGGACGAAAGCUGGGGGAGCAAACCGGAUUAGAUACCCGGGUAGUCCCAGCCGUAAACGAUGCGCGUUAGGUGUAUCGGUGACCACGAGUUACCGAGGUGCCGAAGGGAAACCGUGAAACGCGCCGCCUGGGAAGUACGGUCGCAAGGCUGAAACUUAAAGGAAUUGGCGGGGAGCAC
rnacentral:rRNA from 1 species